UAAUAAAAGUCUAUCCAUUUCUGGUAUCUUUCAUAACAGCAGCCUUAGCAAAUUGGAACAACCCCCAUCCCAGUAUCAAGAGUAAGAAGGUCUUCACAACUCUAAGUAAAAAAGAAGAUAUGAAUACUUUCAUCGUAAAAACAAGAACAUGAAAAUCAUUGAGUUUUUCUCCCUGGUCCAAGAUCCUUGCAGAUUUGGAAAGCCCCAGGUCAUCUUUUACUUCCAGGAGGAGAUGCUGGGUAAGGAAGAGAGAAGGAAUGAAGCUUGAUUUCUCCAUGGCAGGUCACCUGAGUCUGGGCUCAAUUUCUCUUCCUGGGGACUUGCCCAAUACUAACAUCUCAGCUGUGCCAAGUUCUGUGAUUCCCUGCCCAUUUACCUGGGACCUUGAUUAGUUUACUAGAGCACCAUAUAAGCUCAGACAGAAGGAGCAAGCUUGCUACAUACAAGAGGGACACUUUGAGGAACACACAGGAACUGAAAGAGGAGCUGCAGCUUAUAGAGACAUU